GUCUAUGGCCAUACUACCCUGAACACGCUCAACCUCAUCUGAUUUCAGAAGCUAAGUAGGGUCAGACCUUGUUAGUAUUUGGAAGGGAAACCAUGUUAAAAGGGUCAUUAAAAAAG